AUAUAUCUACCUUUCAUGCAAUGAUUGAGCGAGCACGAAAGCAAAGUGGUAAGCUUGCAUUGUGGAAUGUAGCAAUCUCUAAAAACACAUUACUGUAAUACUGUUUUUUGCGUUAUUCAAUUCAAUGUUGUUUAGCCUGAGUUAUUUUUUAAGGAAAUCUAACGAAUGAUAUCGAAACUUAACACGAGUUUGAUUUGUUUACGCUGCUCUCUAAAUGAAAAGCGUGUCGCGCCGCGUAGCAUGCCACUUCGCAAGCAUUAAAAGCUGGAAAUGAAGAGUAGAAAAUAUAAUAGUAGUAGUUCAUUUGAAAACAUAAAAUAUACUUGUUUCUUACUUCUCAUUUGGUCUUUACUAUCAUUUUCUAAAUUUUGCAUUUUCACUUUCUGUACUGUGAUUGUAUACAAAAAAAUAAUCUUUUAUUUGUUUAAUAGUUUUUUUUGUUUCAUUUGCAAAUA